AUUGAACGCUGGCGGCAGGCCUAACACAUGCAAGUCGAGCGGAUGAAGGGAGCUUGCUCCUGGAUUCAGCGGCGGACGGGUGAGUAAUGCCUAGGAAUCUGCCUGGUAGUGGGGGAUAACGUCCGGAAACGGGCGCUAAUACCGCAUACGUCCUGAGGGAGAAAGUGGGGGAUCUUCGGACCUCACGCUAUCAGAUGAGCCUAGGUCGGAUUAGCUAGUUGGUGGGGUAAAGGCCUACCAAGGCGACGAUCCGUAACUGGUCUGAGAGGAUGAUCAGUCACACUGGAACUGAGACACGGUCCAGACUCCUACGGGAGGCAGCAGUGGGGAAUAUUGGACGAUGGGCGAAAGCCUGAUCCAGCCAUGCCGCGUGUGUGAAGAAGGUCUUCGGAUUGUAAAGCACUUUAAGUUGGGAGGAGGGGCAGUAAGUUAAUACCUUGCUGUUUUGACGUUACCAACAGAAUAAGCACCGGCUAACUUCGUG
rnacentral:rRNA from 1 species